rnacentral:rRNA from 1 species
GAUGAACGCUGGCGGCGUGCCUAAUACAUGCAAGUCGAGCGAACAGACGAGGAGCUUGCUCCUCUGACGUUAGCGGCGGACGGGUGAGUAACACGUGGAUAACCUACCUAUAAGACUGGGAUAACUUCGGGAAACCGGAGCUAAUACCGGAUAAUAUAUUGAACCGCAUGGUUCAAUAGUGAAAGACGGUUUUGCUGUCACUUAUAGAUGGAUCCGCGGCGCAUUAGCUAGUUGGUAAGGUAACGGCUUACCAAGGCGACGAUGCGUAGCCGACCUGAGAGGGUGAUCGGCCACACUGGAACUGAGACACGGUCCAGACUCCUACGGGAGGCAGCAGUAGGGAAUCUUCCGCAAUGGGCGAAAGCCUGACGGAGCAACGCCGCGUGAGUGAUGAAGGUCUUCGGAUCGUAAAACUCUGUUAUUAGGGAAGAACAAAUGUGUAAGUAACUAUGCACGUCUUGACGGUACCUAAUGAGAAAGCCACGGCUAACUACGUG